rnacentral:rRNA from 1 species
GAUGAACGCUGGCGGCGUGCCUAAUACAUGCAAGUCGAGCGAACAGACGAGGAGCUUGCUCCUCUGACGUUAGCGGCGGACGGGUGAGUAACACGUGGAUAACCUACCUAUAAGACUGGGAUAACUUCGGGAAACCGGAGCUAAUACCGGAUAAUAUAUUGAACCGUAUGGUUCAAUAGUGAAAGACGGUUUUGCUGUCACUUAUAGAUUGAUCCGCGCCGCAUUAGCUAGUUGGUAAGGUAACGGCUUACCAAGGCAACGAUGCGUAGCCGACCUGAGAGGGGGAUCGGCCACACUGGAACGGAGACACGGUCAAGACUCCUACGGGAGGCAGCAGUAGGGAAUCUUCCGCAAUGGGCGAAAGCCUGACGGAGCAACGCCGCGUGAGUGAUGAAGGUCUUCGGAUCGUAAAACUCUGUUAUUAGGGAAGAACAAAUGUGUAAGUAACUAUGCACGUCUUGACGGUACCUAAUCAGAAAGCCACGGCUAACUACGUG